AGGACGAAGCCCCGCGCGCCUCGCCGCCACCGCCACCGCAUCAACUGGCACUGAAUGCGCGCGCCUAUCCUCGUAUAUAUAAAUCGUAAGGAAGAGAGAGGCAAGUAUAAAACUAUAAUGUCGAAGUACGAUGCAGUCUCACUCAUGGGGACCGGGGUAGCCCACUGACCUGAGUUCCACGAAAGUCGUCGUGCCGACUCACGGCAGGCGGCGUUUGAUUCGUUCGUCUCCAAUUGCAAUUCUUUUAUUAUUGUUCAUUCUUCGGUUCCCGAAACAUGCUGCUACUUGGAUUUUAUGAGUUUUGUGCUAUCCACUCAGGAGUAGCAUAAAGGGCAGGUAAAUUCAGAAGCGCACAGUUUAAUUCUCGCCAGACGAAUACACCACGGCAACGGUCGCGCUGUGCUGGGCCGCGCUCCACGCGUCGCAUCGCGCCGCGCCGCACAACGCCGGGAGACAUAAAAACGUUCAUUUGCAUUGGUGCUCCCUGCUAUUUAUCCAGUGUUACAGUACUGCAUAAUAGAAGAACACCGUGGGCUUUGAGGACUCACGCAAACCCGUUUAUAAAUCCUUGAUAAUAUACGUUAACACUCGCGGGAGUCGGAACUAUCUCUAAUUAGCUGGUUACGUUUCAAAUACCUUCACACAGCCAUAGUGCGGUUGUAACUUUCAUUAUAUAAAAGUUAAAUAUGGCAAAUAAAAUUAUUCAACACCAGUCAUGAAAUGAA